AAUGCAGUGUGGAACAUAAUGAACUGAA
rnacentral:piRNA from 1 species